GCCAGACUCCUACGGGAGGCAGCAGUGGGGAAUAUUGCACAAUGGGGGAAACCCUGAUGCAGCGACGCCGCGUGAGUGAAGAAGUAUUUCGGUAUGUAAAGCUCUAUCAGCAGGAACGAGACAAGACGGUACCUGACUAAGAAGCCCCGGCUAACUACGUGCCAGCAGCCGCGGUAAUACGUAGGGGGCAAGCGUUAUCCGGAAUCACUGGGUGUAAAGGGAGCGUAGACGGCUGUGCAAGCCUGAAGUGAAAGGCGGGGGCCCAACCCCUGGACUGCUUUGGAAACUGUACGGCUGGAGUGCAGGAGAGGUAAGUGGAAUUCCUAGUGUAGCGGUGAAAUGCGUAGAUAUUAGGAGGAACACCAGGGGCGAAGGCGGCUUACUGGACUGUAACUGACGUUGAGGCUCGAAAGCGUGGGGAGCAAACAGGAUUAGAUACCCUCGUA
rnacentral:rRNA from 1 species